CCCUUAGAUGUUCUGGGCCGCACGCGUGCUACACUGACGGAGGCAGCGAGCGUGUCCUUCGCCGGCAGGUGCGGGCAAUCUUGCGAGUCUCCGUCGUGCUGGGGAUAGAUGGUUGCAAUUGUCGAUCUUGAACGAGGAAUUCCUAGUAAGCGCGAGUCAUCAGCUCGCGCUGAUUACGUCCCUGCCCUUUGUACACACCGCCCGUCGCUACUACAGAGUGCCCGUGUCCAAGAAACGGUCGGACCUGUGCGGCCUCUCCGGGCGACCGGAGGGCCGUUACGGGGAAGACCCUUUAUUUGACGCGGGUCGAUGAAGUAAAAGUCGUAACA
rnacentral:rRNA from 1 species